UACACUCCUGCGGGAGGCAGCAGUGGGGAAUUUUGGACAAUGGGGGCAACCCUGAUCCAGCAAUGCCGCGUGAGUGAAGAAGGCCUUCGGGUUGUAAAGCUCUUUUGUCAGGGAAGAAACGGUGGUGGCGAAUAACUACUACUAAUGACGGUACCUGAAGAAUAAGCACCGGCUAACUACGUGCCAGCAGCCGCGGUAAUACGUAGGGUGCAAGCGUUAAUCGGAAUUACUGGGCGUAAAGCGUGCGCAGGCGGUUGUGUAAGUCAGAUGUGAAAUCCCCGGGCUCAACCUGGGAAUUGCAUUUGAGACUGCACGGCUAGAGUGUGUCAGAGGGGGGUAGAAUUCCACGUGUAGCAGUGAAAUGCGUAGAUAUGUGGAGGAAUACCGAUGGCGAAGGCAGCCCCCUGGGAUAACACUGACGCUCAUGCACGAAAGCGUGGGGAGCAAACAGGAUUAGAAACCCGUGUAGUCC
rnacentral:rRNA from 1 species